rnacentral:tRNA from 1 species
GCCGAGAUAGCUCAGUGGUAGAGCAGCUCACUUGUAAUGAGCAGGUCCCGGGUUCAAAUCCCGGUCUCGGCUCCA